UACGAAGGGGGCUAGCGUUGUUCGGAAUCACUGGGCGUAAAGGGCGCGUAGGCGGCUUUAUAAGUCGGGGGUGAAAGCCUGUGGCUCAACCACAGAAUUGCCUUCGAUACUGUAGAGCUUGAGACCGGAAGAGGUAAGUGGAACUGCGAGUGUAGAGGUGAAAAUUCGUAGAUAUUCGCAAGAACACCAGUGGCGAAGGCGGCUUACUGGUCCGGUUCUGACGCUGA
rnacentral:rRNA from 1 species